rnacentral:lncRNA from 1 species
CUCAGUGCCGCUGUGGAGCCAGGGCCAGUGCGGGGACCCCUGGGUGGCUCUGCGUGCGUGGGCUGGGGGACGGGGACCCAGCGCGGGGGGCUGGUGGAGGGGCCCAGCGGGACCGUGCUGGCCAGCUGGCCCCCGGCUCCCCGCACACUGGCCUCGGCUGUCCCCACCGCCACCGCCGCUCCCGGCACGGGGCGCAGGGCGAUGGUGGACAUGGUUGGCCGGGGGCUGGCGGUCCCCACAAGGGACGGGCCGUGGCCUGGCCUGGCCGGCCCCGGGGAGCCCGGACCCACAUCUGUGGGCRCCGUAGAGGGCAUCCGGGUCUCGAUCCGGUGUCCGGCCUGGCCCUUGGCCUCCCGUCCUCGCCAGGCGAUGAAGGGCUCCUCCACCACGUCCAGGGCCGGGUCGCCGUCCCUCCAGGCCCCAGUGCCAGCGCUCACCAGGGUGGCCACCGUCCCCAGCGCCUGCAGGGGGUCAUCAGCCCCCCGGGGCCAUGGCGGCACGGGCACCUCGGUCACAGCCCCCAGCAGCGGUGGYGGUCGGGACCACCGUGCGGGGCCAGCGUCCCCCCAGCGCUCGCUGUCCRGGUCCCCGGCGCCGCUGAGCUCCCCCGACGUGUCCUGGAGCRGGGGGCGGCCGGCCGCAGCGGGGACCCCGGCAGCCAGGAGCAGCCCGCAGGCGACGAGCCGCGCGGUGGCCAUGGCGAGCRCCCAGCCUGCCCUCGGCCCUGCGGGAACAGCGGGGCGGGGGGUGAGCGGGCCCCCACCACCACCGGAGCCGGGGAGGCGCCUGCACGCAGGCAGCCGUGCGCGGAGGCCGGCAGUYGCGCUGUUCCCACGCACGCGGCGCCCUGAGUCACCGUGGGCACCGCGUCGCCCCGCCAUCGCCCCACGGGCACGCGGCACCUGGCGCCUCCGCGCCACCAGCGGGACUCGGGGGGCUCUGAGCCAAACCCCCGCGGCCCCCGGCAGGGCCCAGGUGCCCAGGCAGCCGAGCAGGGGCCCACGCAACCCGCUGCCCAGCACGGCUGGGGAUGGGAGCCGGUGGCCGUGCUGUCCCUCCUCCCGGCUCUCCYCGCUGCCUCUUCCCAGCUGUCCCCGUCCCCAGCUGUCCCUGGCUCGGGCCCCGUCCCUGUUCCCCGGUGCCCGGUGGCCCGUUCCCAGCUGCCGCUGAUGCUAGCGGUCCCCGGUCCCAGCCGUCGCCAUCCCGUGUCCCUGGUGCCNNNNNNNNNNNNNN